rnacentral:rRNA from 1 species
UACGUAGGGCGCAAGCGUUGUCCGGAAUUAUUGGGCGUAAAGAGCUCGUAGGCGGCUUGUCACGUCGGUUGUGAAAGCCCGGGGCUUAACCCCGGGUCUGCAGUCGAUACGGGCUAGCUAGAGUGUGGUAGGGGAGAUCGGAAUUCCUGGUGUAGCGGUGAAAUGCGCAGAUAUCAGGAGGAACACCGGUGGCGAAGGCGGCACUCUGGGCCGAUACUGACGCUGAGGAGCGAAAGCGUGGGGAGCGAACAGG